GACGAACGCUGGCGGCGUGCUUAACACAUGCAAGUCGAACGGACAGGCCCUGCUUUUGUUGCUUUCUCGAUUGGCGAACGCGUGAGUAACACGUGAGUAACCUGUCCUUGACUUUCUGAUAACUUCACGAAACUCGGGCUCAUACCCGAUAGGAUCUCCUGCUCCAUGUUGUGGGUUGGUAAGUUUCGGCUGUUGGGGAUAGACUCGCGGGUUAUCCGCUUGUUUGUGGAGUAGUUGCUUACCAAGGCUGUGACGGGUAGCCUGCCUGAGAGGGUGACCGGCCACAAUGGGACUGAGAUACGGCCCAGACGGCUACGGGAGGCAGCAGUGGGGAAUAUUACAGAACAGGGGGAAGCCUGAGGCAGCAACGCCGCGAGCGGGAUAACGGGUUACGGGUGGUAAACCGAUGUCGCAUGUAACGAAGAGGGAGUGACGGUAAUGGGUAAAGAAGCAACGGCUAACUACGUG
rnacentral:rRNA from 1 species